GAUGAACGCUGGCGGCGUGCCUAAUACAUGCAAGUCGAGCGAACGGACGAGAAGCUUGCUUUUCUGAUGUUAGCGGCGGACGGGUGAGUAACACGUGGAUAACCUACCUAUAAGACUGGGAUAACUUCGGGAAACCGGAGCUAAUACCGGAUAAUAUUUUGAACCGCAUGGUUCAAAAGUGAAAGACGGUCUUGCUGUCACUUAUAGAUGGAUCCGCGCUGCAUUAGCUAGUUGGUAAGGUAACGGCUUACCAAGGCAACGAUGCAUAGCCGACCUGAGAGGGUGAUCGGCCACACUGGAACUGAGACACGGUCCAGACUCCUACGGGAGGCAGCAGUAGGGAAUCUUCCGCAAUGGGCGAAAGCCUGACGGAGCAACGCCGCGUGAGUGAUGAAGGUCUUCGGAUCGUAAAACUCUGUUAUUAGGGGAGAACAUAUGUGUAAGUAACUGUGCACAUCUUGACGGUACCUAAUCAGAAAGCCACGGCUAACUACGUG
rnacentral:rRNA from 1 species